rnacentral:rRNA from 1 species
AAUCAACGCUGGCGGCGUGCCUAACACAUGCAAGUCGAGCGAGAAAAGGGGAGCAAUCCCCUGAGUACAGCGGCGCACGGGUGAGUAACACGUGGGUAAUCUGCCCUGGAGUGGGGAAUAACACCGGGAAACCGGUGCUAAUACCGCAUACGAUAGCGAGGUCUGCGGACUUUGUUAUGAAAGGAGCAAUUCGCUUUAGGAGGAGCCCGCGGCUGAUUAGCUAGUUGGUGAGGUAACGGCUCACCAAGGCGACGAUCAGUAGCCGGUCUGAGAGGACGGUCGGCCACACUGGAACUGAGACACAGUCCAGACUCCUACGGGAGGCAGCAGUGGGGAAUUUUUGGCAAUGGGGGAAACCCUGACCAAGCAACGCCGCGUGGGUGAUGAAGUCUCUUGGGACGUAAAACCCUUUCGACGGGGAAGAAACCGCAAGGUUGACGGUACCCGUAGAAGAAGCCCCGGCUAACUCCGUGCCAGCCACCGCAGUAACAC